rnacentral:rRNA from 10 species
GACCUCAAAUCAGGUAGGACUACCCGCUGAACUUAAG